AUUGAACGCUGGCGGCAGGCCUAACACAUGCAAGUCGAACGAGUGGCGGACGGGUGAGUAAUGUAUGGGGAACUGCCCGAUAGAGGGGGAUAACUACUGGAAACGGUGGCUAAUACCGCAUACUAUAGGAGGAACCCAUAUGGGAUGAGCUGGUGGGUGGGGUAAAGGCUCACCAAGGCGACGAUCGCUAGCUGGUCUGAGAGGUGGACCAGCCACACUGGGACUGGGACAGGGCCCAGACUCUUACGGGAGGCAGCAGUGGGGAAUUUUCGACAUGGGGGGAAAGCCUGAUGCAGCCAUGCCGCUUGUAGGAAGAAGGCCUUCGGGUUUUAAAGUACUUUCAGCGGGGAGGCGGUACCCGCAGAAGAAGCACCGGCUAACUACGUGCCAGCAGCCGCGGUAAUAC
rnacentral:rRNA from 1 species